rnacentral:lncRNA from 1 species
UCUAUUGAAUUAUAAUACGAUGGUGGGGCUUCAUCAUCCUUUUUUAAUAUGAACAGCUAAGAGAAAGGUUUGUCUCCAAGAAUGGAUAAUGUACUCGCAGCUACACAUCAUAUAACAUGCACAGGUCUUAUAUGAUAGACAUUCUCAUUAGUUCAAACCCAUUAGAAAAGGUUGUUCUUGGUGUAGAAAACCUCUCCAAUUGAUCAUUUAAAGGUUUCCAGCACUAGAACUGCAUAGUCCAGCAGGGUUAAGAGGGGUGCACCUAACUGUAAGAAAGAAAUUAAUUAAAACAAAGACACCACAUAAUUACAACAAAAAUCACAUUAUAUAAUCAUAAUAAUAUGUUAACAAAAAAUUGCUUAAUUUAAUAUACUUCUUAAAUCUACUCCAAUGUCCCAAUAUAUUUGUCCUUCCAAUUUACAAUAAACAUUCUAGUUUAUAAAACAAAAUUCUGGAGAUUUGUUUUUUU